AAGUGCUACAGAUUUAAUCUUGUCCAAAAUAGCUGAAUUAUUUCCUGGAAGAAACAAUCUUCAAAUCAAUCUUGAAUCAAAAUCUGUAUAUUAAGAGUUUUAAGGCAUCUGAUUAGCAGUGAUUACAAUGCACUUUCAACGAUUUACUCGACAUUAAGUAUGUUUUUACUAAAUAGCACUUAAUCUGGUACAGAAUAUCUAGAUAUGCAUUCUAUAGCUUUAAAUUUUAUUAAUUUGCGCGAGUUUCAGAAAAUAUGCACUUGUAAAGUGGUCUGAAAGAAAUAUCAAUUCUACCUCACGACCGCAGUGUUUUUUUUCAGUAGCCUAAAAUUAAUUAUUAUUUAAAGUCUCUGUUUUCAUUCAACUAGAAAAAGUGCAGGUUGUGUUUACGUCCGUUCAUAAUUUCGGCGGUGCUUCUUAAAAAGAAAAAGGCGGGCACGUGUAAAUGUAUGUGUGUGAGUGUGUGUAUAUGUUCCCCCCGUUGAUAAAACGAGUGCGGCCAGCAGUUUCUUUCUUGUUUUUGUUUGCUGCUGCUUGCUAUCUUCAGCAAAGCAGGACACGGUCUUACACGUGACGGUGGAACCUUAGUCGGGGUGAGAGGGGGAUAAGAAUAUGCAUGUUCUCUCACUCUCGAAAACGUUAAUAUAGAGAGGCCAGACACACAAACUGUAGAGGGAGAAAGAGGCAGAGAUAAAACCUGCCAUUUCCCUGGGUACACAGGGUGGAGGAAACAAUUGAUGAGAGGCAAUCCGUGUUGGAUCAAUCAGUCCCUGCUAGGAGGGAGCGGUUAUGAAAGAGUAUGGAUCAAAGUUGUAAGUUUGGGGAGUUGGUAGGAAGCGGUUGCAGUGGGCCAAGCAUUUUGCAUUAUUAUUUUUUAGGAGGGAGUAAAUGGGGUGUCAGGGUCGCUAUGGCAGCUGCGGUGAUUGACACCGGGCUACAUGCUAAUGAGCCCGUGUGUAGUAUAUUUACGUUGAACCGGGAGCCGCCCUUCAUUCACCCACAUGGUGCAGCAUUCGCGCCACUUUGCAGAAAUCGCAGCAGCUUCCUUGCCACCAACCGCUUGUCUCUUCGAGGAGCAAAUGAGAAGGGAAGGGGGAAAGAGAGAAAAUCAUGCACAGGCUCGUUGCCAGGAUUCGCCAUCUCCUUUCCUCUCCCACGCCCCCCACGUCCCGGCGGAUGGUGACCCUCGUGUUCGGUUCAUUUUUUUUCAAAAAAAAGUUUUUAUUUUGCCCGAGCGGCCUAAAGUUGCAGCCGUCUCGAGUUGCGUGAGUGAAAAGCGUACCCGUCCGCCCGGUGUUGGUAUGGUAUGUGUUGGGAGCUUGCUUCUGCUCUCUCUCUCCAUCUCGAUCGGUUCUAUUCCCCGUUCUUUGACGGUUUUGUUCUUCGCGGCCUUCUCUCUUUCGUUCCUCUUCUCCGGGUUUUCGUUGUAGCCUGGGCCUGCUUGCUCCGCUCACCGCGCACUCGCUGCCUGUUGGCUUACUGGUCUAUUUAUUUAUUUAAUUUUUUUGCAGUUGGCGCCGUCGCUAUUCUCACGAGCGGAGAAGGGGCGGGCUCUUUCUUUUCAUAUUUCUGUGUGAGAGAAGUGGGGAAAGGGACGGAGCAGCAUGGCGUCGGGACUGGGUGCCCAAGUCGGUUCGAUUAGGGUCGCAAGGGAUGCUUGGCUGCGUCACAAAGCGGGGCCUCCUGAAAGGGUGAAGGUGCAGAGAGGAGAGCUGGAGAUCUGAAUGCCAGAAAAAACCUGGAAUAUUUUGGUGCCUGCGGUAUGGUCUAGGUCAGAAGUAAUGUCAAAGUGCUUACAGUGCAGGGAUGAAUUCCAAGAAAAAAGGAAAGGAAAGUGCUGUCCAUACCUGGUCUGGACUACAUGUAACUCCAGACUCUCAAGGUGGUUGACUUUGAACAGCCCUCUGGAAUAGGUAAUAAAAUGCUGGCUGGCCUAGUCGGUAAAACGCUCGUCCCUGUUGGUGUGUGGUUUUUUUUUUUUUAAAAAUUCCUGAUGAGUGAGAGGUGUUGCACUUCAGAGAAGCAACAAGAUGAGGAGUACUCAACAAAUGGCAAGAUACUAGGAAGCCCAAGAACAGAAGGAUCUGGGAGUGUUUAUCCACAGAUCCCUGAAAGUAGCAGGACAUGUUUAUCGGGUAUUACAGGGCAUACAGAAUGCUUGUCUUUAUCUGUUACUAUGUCUUGGUUAUGAGAGCAGGGAGGUCAUUUUAGACCUAUGUAGAACUUUAGUUAGGCCACAGCUGGAGAACUGUGCAGUUCUAGUCACAAUGCUAUAAGAAGGAUGAGUGCAAGGGAGAUUCGCCGGGAUGCUGCCUGUUUUGGAGCGCUUGGCUAUGAAGAGAAGUGGGAUAGGGUUAGGCUUGUUUCUCGAGCAGAGAAUGUUGAGGCAUUACCUGGUGAAGGUGUAUAAGGUUGAAUGGUUUAGUGGUAUGAUGCAUAGGUAAGGUUAAUGGUCAGAAUCUUUUGCCCAGAGUUUAAAUGCUAGGGGAUGUGCAUUUAAGGUGAGAGGGGAAAGUUUG